rnacentral:rRNA from 1 species
GACGAACGCUGGCGGCGUGCUUAACACAUGCAAGUCGAACGGUAAGGCCCUUCGGGGUACACGAGCGGCGAACGGGUGAGUAACACGUGGGUGAUCUGCCCUGCACUUCGGGAUAAGCCUGGGAAGCUGGGUCUAAUACCGGAUAGGACUCCUGGCUUCAUGGUUGGGGGUGGAAAGCUUUUGCGGUGUGGGAUGGGCCCGCGGCCUAUCAGCUUGUUGGUGGGGUAAUGGCCUACCAAGGCGACGACGGGUAGCCGGCCUGAGAGGGUGACCGGUCACACUGGGACUGAGAUACGGCCCAGACUCCUACGGGAGGCAGCAGUGGGGAAUAUUGCACAAUGGGCGCAAGCCUGAUGCAGCGACGCCGCGUGAGGGAUGACGGCCUUCGGGUUGUAAACCUCUUUCAGCUAUGACGAAGCGCAAGUGACGGUAGUAGCAGCAGAAGGACCGGCCAACUACGUGCCAGCAGCCGCCGCCG